rnacentral:rRNA from 1 species
AAUAGGAUCAGGAACUUCGUUUUCCUGCAUCACUUCUUAGAGGGACUUUGCGUGUCUAACGCAAGGAAGUUUGAGGCAAUAACAGGUCUGUGAUGCCCUUAGAUGUUCUGGGCUGCACGCGCGCUACACUGAUGCAUCCAACGAGUUUAUAACCUUGGCCGGUAGGUCUGGGUAAUCUUGUGAGUAUGCAUCGUGAUGGGGAUAGAUUAUUGCAAUUAUUAAUCUUCAACGAGGAAUGCCUAGUAGGCGCAAGUCAGCAGCUUGCGCCGAUUACGUCCCUGCCCUUUGUACACACCGCCCGUCG